rnacentral:lncRNA from 1 species
UAUGACAUGUUUUAUAAUGAAGUUGAGGUAACUCAUUUUAUCCUCGCAAAGCUUGAAGCUCUUUUUAUAACUUGAAGACAAUUAAAUGUAUUGUUUCCUGUUUGCCGUGAUAGUAUCGGACUAGUGGAGGAGUUCGCGAACUUUUUAAUGCGAUGGCGACAAAAAGUUAUGUAAAUUGUUGGCAUCUAUCAUGAACAAGUUAGAAAACUGUCAAUUUAAGCUAUAUUUUUUGGUAUUGCAUGUUACUGGAAGUUUGAAAAAGUCCGGAUCAUGUAAUCGGAC